UUAGAGUUUGAUCCUGGCUCAGGAUGAACGCUAGCGGCAGGCUUAACACAUGCAAGUCGAGGGGCAGCGAGAUCAGUGCUUGCACUGAUUGUCGGCGACCGGCGCACGGGUGCGUAACGCGUAUGCAACCUACCCAUUACAGGGGGAUAACACUGAGAAAUCGGUACUAAUACCCCAUAACAUCCAGGGAGGCAUCUUCUUGGGUUGAAAACUCCGGUGGUAAUGGAUGGGCAUGCGUUGUAUUAGUUAGUUGGUGGGGUAACGGCUCACCAAGACAACGAUACAUAGGGGGACUGAGAGGUUAACCCCCCACAUUGGUACUGAGACACGGACCAAACUCCUACGGGAGGCAGCAGUGAGGAAUAUUGGUCAAUGGACGCAAGUCUGAACCAGCCAUGCCGCGUGCAGGAAGACGGCUCUAUGAGUUGUAAACUGCUUUUGUACGAGGGUAAACGCAGAUACGCGUAUCUGUCUGAAAGUAUCGUACGAAUAAGGAUCGGCUAACUCCGUGCCAGCAGCCGCGGUAAUACGGAGGAUUCAAGCGUUAUCCGGAUUUAUUGGGUUUAAAGGGUGCGUAGGCGGUCGGAUAAGUUAGAGGUGAAAUCCCGGGGCUCAACUUCGGAAUUGCCUCUGAUACUGUUCGGCUAGAGAGUAGUUGCGGUAGGCGGAAUGUAUGGUGUAGCGGUGAAAUGCUUAGAGAUCAUACAGAACACCGAUUGCGAAGGCAGCUUACCAAGCUACUUCUGACGUUGAGGCACGAAAGCGUGGGGAGCAAACAGGAUUAGAUACCCUGGUAGUCCACGCAGUAAACGAUGAUAACUCGUUGUCGGCGAUACAGUGUCGGUGACUAAGCGAAAGCGAUAAGUUAUCCACCUGGGGAGUACGUUCGCAAGAAUGAAACUCAAAGGAAUUGACGGGGGCCCGCACAAGCGGAGGAACAUGUGGUUUAAUUCGAUGAUACGCGAGGAACCUUACCCGGGCUUGAAAGUUAGUGACGGAUCUUGAAAGAGGUCUUCCCUUCGGGGCACGAAACUAGGUGCUGCAUGGUUGUCGUCAGCUCGUGCCGUGAGGUGUCGGGUUAAGUCCCAUAACGAGCGCAACCCCUACCGUUAGUUGCCAGCAGGUCAAGCUGGGCACUCUGACGGGACUGCCGGUGUAAGCCGAGAGGAAGGUGGGGAUGACGUCAAAUCAGCACGGCCCUUACGUCCGGGGCUACACACGUGUUACAAUGGCAGGUACAGAGGGCAGCUACCCAGCGAUGGGAUGCGAAUCUCGAAAGCCUGUCUCAGUUCGGAUUGGAGGCUGAAACCCGCCUCCAUGAAGUUGGAUUCGCUAGUAAUCGCGCAUCAGCCAUGGCGCGGUGAAUACGUUCCCGGGCCUUGCACGCACCGCCCGUCAAG
rnacentral:rRNA from 1 species